rnacentral:rRNA from 1 species
UACGUAGGUGGCAAGCGUUGUCCGGAUUUAUUGGGUUUAAAGGGUGCGUAGGCGGCCAGUUAAGUCAGGGGUGAAAGACGGUAGCUCAACUAUCGCAGUGCCUUUGAUACUGGAUGUCUUGAGUCCGGAAGAGGUGAGUGGAAUUGCGAGUGUAGAGGUGAAAUUCGUAGAUAUUCGCAGGAACACCAGUGGCGAAGGCGGCUCACUGGUCCGGAACUGACGCUGAGGUGCGAAAGCGUGGGGAGCAAACAGGG